AUGCACGCUGGCGGCGUGCCUAAUCCAUGCCAGUCGCGCGAACAGACGAGGAGCUUGCUCCUCUGACGUUAGCGGCGGACGGGUGAGUAACACGUGGAUAACCUACCUAUAAGACUGGGAUAACUUCGGGAAACCGGAGCUAAUACCGGAUAAUAUAUUGAACCGCAUGGUUCAAUAGUGAAAGACGGUUUUGCUGUCACUUAUAGAUGGAUCCGCGCCGCAUUAGCUAGUUGGUAAGGUAACGGCUUACCAAGGCAACGAUGCGUAGCCGACCUGAGAGGGUGAUCGGCCACCCUGGAACGUGAGACCCGGUCCUGCGCCCAAGGGAGGGAGCAGGAGGGAAAUUUUCGGAAAGGGGGGAAGCCUGACGGAGCAACGCCGCGUGAGUGAUGAAGGUCUUCGGAUCGUAAAACUCUGUUAUGAGGGAAGAACAAAUGUGUAAGUAACUAUGCACGUCUUGACGGUACCUAAUCAGAAAGCCACGGCUAACUACGUG
rnacentral:rRNA from 1 species